GACCGCUGAUUCCCAGGCACCCGGUACCGGUCCGCGGCGUUUAGGGUCCGGCUGCAAACGGGGCGGGGCGGGAGCGUUCCUUCUGGGGGCCGGUCACGCCCCCGUACCGUCCCGCGCGGCCUGGCACGCCGGGCUCCGCUGCGGACAUGGCCCACGGCGGCGCGGUGCUCCCCGGGGCUUGUCAGGAAGGGGUCGCCCAGGAAGGGGCCGGGCGAGCGGCGCUCGCGAAGGCGGUGGUGUGGAAGCAGCUCAGCGACCUGCCCAGGCUCUGAGGGAGAACUGCACGCAGACACUGUUCCUUCUGCCAGCGGCUCUCUGUUCCAAGCACACAGGCAGUCUUGUUAGCCAGAGCUCCUGGCUUUUAUUCCCACGUCAUUGGGCUCACAUCAAGGGACUCAGCAAAUGAGCUCGAAUUCCUGUGGACAGUGUUGACGUUUCAGAAUUUAGAGCGUUUUUACAAUGGUUGUGGCCUGGAACCUGCAUCUGAACAAGGAGGAGAUUUACUGAAGCUUUGUGUGAGACAGGCGUGCCUGACACUGAUGGGAAAAGCUUGAAAGCGCACAGGACGCAAAAGAAGCCAGGUGGAUCCCAGAAAGGCUGGUGCGAUUUACAGGAGUUGUUCCCCAGAAGGAGGAUGUUCCUGCUACCGACAAUCUUGAAUUCUGCCCUGACUGAGAACCAAAAAGCUGCAUUGGACUUAAGCUCCUGACCACCUUUGUGUCAUUCUGCUCCUGGGAGAAGACGUCAUACAGAGAAACCUCUUAUACAAUGGACUGGACUUGAUUGUUCUGUUAAUAAGGACAAUUCUCAACAAAAUCAAAGAGAAUAAAAAAGAGGACUAACUGUGAAACUUUGGUCUGACUCUGGUUUUCAGCAGACCAAAACAAGCUUGCUUCAAAAACUCUUGGGAGGCUCUGUAACUAUGUAAAUUCUCCUUUUGUUUUGUUGUUUGGAAAUGUUAACAAGAUUCAAACUUUAAUGUUUCUUGCCUUCAAUGUAAACUGACAAACUGUAUUGGUAAGCUUUCAAAUGGUUCUGAUUGUUCGACAGCCUUUUACUAUGGUUCCUGUGAAUGUUUCUCAGACUUGGUAUUUACACAAGGAGUCACCUGCUAAGUCACUUUUGUGGAGUGUUAUUUUGGACUUGACUUGUGAUAGGAGAUGCUCCUAUCGUUGACAACAAACCUGCCUAAAGGCCUUUUAGUAUGUCAAAGCUGAGCUGAUCUGCACAAGAUCAUACCACAGUGUCUACCCUAGCAGAGGUUGGUAGUCAAUGACGGGUAAGAUUUCUCUGGGAUAUGUUAUGGGGCAUGAAUGAUAAAAUUCAUGUACAAAUAAAGAUAUAUCUUUCGAGAGAAACAACCUAAGACAGGCACAAUCUUCUGCUCCAUAACUCUUAAGUUAUAGCCAAUUUUAAAAAAUAUAAAAAAGGGAGACCUGUCAGGAGCUGUGCCUCUGGCAGCUGCUUUGAUAUUUAAAUCUCAGCAGAAAGACUGCUUUUACCAGGCCUUCACUAAGUCAGGGAAGAAUUUGCAAGUCCAUCUCCUUUUGUUUAUGACAGCAGGUGGGAGAGCUUGUCAUAAUCACACCUCUUGCUCCAGCCUCUGGUGGAAAUUAACCCAUUGUUCUGAGGUGUUUCUACUCUGGCUUAAAAGCUCUACAAUAAAAAAAAAAGGCCUGCUGUUGCUGCUAAAUUGCUGCUAGUUUUGCUGCAGAGGCUUGAGGUUGCUGCUGUGGCUGUCGAGUCUGGACCUUCUUAAAAAAGCCUCCUGUGUGCUGUGUGUUUUUUAUUAAUUUUCAUCCUCACUCCCGACUCAAGAACCAUCGACUCUGCUGGCUGGCUCCGGCAAAAUGAGGACAUUUAAUUUCUGCUGUUGAAGUCACCAAUACUGCAUGACGCUGUGAGGGCAGUCAUGGCAAACUGACACAACCCCUUCUCUAGCCUCGACUCACGUUGCAGGUCCCAUGCUCACUAUGUUCUAGCAAAGCAGCUUUUUCUUUGGUUCUUUGAACUGUCUGUACUUAUGCUUGUCAUGGUCUUUGCAUAGAUGCUCUCCCCACUUCCAGCCUCUGCAUAUAUAUUCUCCUCGCUUCCUAGAACGACCUUUGCCUAUUUCCUGUUGGUCUAGUUCAUUUUUUUCAUUUAAAAACUAGAUUACUUUAUGUGUGUGUCAGAUCCCCCGGAACUAGAGUUAUGGACUCCUGUGAGCCACCAUGUGGGUGCUUGGAACUCAACCUGGGUCCUCUGAAAAAUCAAGGGCUCUUAACCACUGAGUCAGCUCCUCAACCCCUCCAUCUUUCUGUGUCAUCCUACAUUCCUUUAUUCAACUAUUAGUUACUGGGUACUAAUUAUAUGCCUGCAAAAUGCUAACCCUUCUGAGCGUGCAGCAGUGUGUAAGCAGGGCUUUUGGCCUCAUGGGCCUACAGAUGCCCACUUAAACAUCUUUGUAUUGCAGUGUUCCUGGGAGAGCUACCCACUAAGACCUCCUAGGAAAAGACUGCCUGAGGAUAGCAGAAUGGAACACCAGACAUGAAGCUAGCAUAGCUUAGAGCCCACCUCCAACCUUGAAGACAGGAUGGCUUGGGGUGAGGAGUGUGGGUAGCUGGCAGUCCCAGCUGUUAAUUGUUUUGGACCCCCUCAUCUUUGAGCUAAGAUGCUAGUCUCUUUGGGGUGCACUCUCCAAUGACUGAACGAAAGUGUGACAUAGCAUGUCUGCCUAACACAGGACAGCUUCGCUUCCUUGAUUCUGCUGCUUCCUAGCUCCUCUGGUCCUUCAAGAGUUACUUUCCAGUAAUCUCUUUGCCUCCUAAAUCUGUCUCUGCCUCUGGUUUCCAGUGGGCCAUGCUAGCUUUGGGAGCUAAGCAGGUGGCUUCGGUAGCUUUAAGCAUCCUCUGACACUGCCAGGAGCAGGUGGUUUAGAACAGGUGCUGAGCCAGUGUAAGCAGGAUGUACUACCACCCAGGCUGCGAGGGGACCAAAGGGUAUUUCCAAUCUGGGACAUGAAGCAAAUAACCCCGUGUUCCUUGGCAAGGAAUAUACCUUGGCAUCAUAUAAGCGACCCAAAUGUUUCCACAGGCUUUCUGAAUGAGCUGUUUGUUCAAUUAGUUGAGCAUGAGCCUAAGGUCAAGUUCCCUUAAUUCAUUUCCUAUUAGCCAGUUAGUUUUAGAAAUGCUGGCCUGUCAAAAACGGUCUGUUAGCUGUUUAUAUGUAAAUGCCGUGGACCCCUUACACAUUAUGUAGUCAUUUCUCAGCUGCCUCAGCUUUUCAGUGACAUAAACAGUUUACAUGUGGUGUCAGGUGGAGAAGCCAUGUAGACUUGGUUAGUGACAAGGAUGGUGCCUGAAUUAAAGUCAUAAGUGGAGAAUUGCUGUUGCCUUCUGCUGUGGAAGCAUUUUCUAGUUCCUUAUUAGAAAAGCAAAAUUCCAUAGCCAGGUGUAAUCCCAGAAUUCAGGAGGCUGGAGCAGAGGAUUGCCACAAAUUCAAGACCAUUCAGAACUAGACAGUAAAUUCAAGGCCAGGUGACGUGCUCUGAAGAAGGGUCAUGGGUCAGCAUGGGCCGGGCAGCUUCCAGAAAUGUCAGGCCAGGUCCCCAGGACUCACACUAAAAAGCUGGUCCUGGCUGAAUGCACUUUUAACCCCAUCACUGGAGGGUGGAGACUGGGGGAUUGCUGGGACUUGCUGGCCAGCCAGUCUAGCUGAAACACUGAAAACUCCAGAUUCCUCGGGAGACCCGGUCUCACGGUGGGACAAUGAGAUAAAAAGAGAUGGGGGGGGCGCUGAAGUCCUGUUUGGACUUAUGCAUAUGUUAACAAAAGCACAGGCGUGUGCACACAUGCACACGUGUGCACACACACCAUAAACAACAACAAAAAGAAGAGGAAAGAGAAGUGAUAAUCCUGAGUCGACCUUUGCCCCUUUCCUCUGAAUACUUGUAGACCGAGAGAGCUGUUGUCACACCUCAUUCAGUCAACCGUGAGCUACACCCAUGCUUCCAUAUUUUAAAGAAAUCCAUGUGCAGUUUCUUUACUGGCACCUGCCAGGCAGACACAGGUAGCGCUCUAGAGCACUGCUCAUCCCCCUUUCUCCUAUUUAGCCAUCCCUCCUGUGUGUUAAACAAUCCUGUCCUAUGUAGUGAGGUUAAGCACAAAGGGCUGCUGGGUUAAAACCUAACUUCUCCCGUUGACUGGCUGUGUGACCUCCAACAGUUACUUCAUCUCUCUGAGUCUUAAUUGGUAAGAUGAGUAAAACAACACGUGGCAUAUAAGGCUGAUGAAAAGUUGAAAUAAAAAUAAAAUGAAC